GCACUGGCAAAAUCCAGUGUCGGGAUUAGUACCCCGUUUCGAUUUCCAAGGCGCAUAUGUGCCAGCUUUUUGCUGGUUUUUU
rnacentral:sRNA from 1 species